GAUGAACGCUGGCGGCGUGCCUAAUACAUGCAAGUCGAGCGAACAGACGAGGAGCUUGCUCCUCUGACGUUAGCGGCGGACGGGUGAGUAACACGUGGAUAACCUACCUAUAAGACUGGGAUAACUUCGGGAAACCGGAGCUAAUACCGGAUAAUAUAUUGAACCGCAUGGUUCAAUAGUGAAAGACGGUUUUGCUGUCACUUAUAGAUGGAUCCGCGCCGCAUUAGCUAGUUGGUAAGGUAACGGCUCACCAAGGCAACGAUGCGUAGCCGACCUGAGAGGGUGAUCGGCCACACUGGAACUGAGACACGGUCCAGACUCCUACGGGAGGCAGCAGUAGGGAAUCUUCCGCAAUGGGCGAAAGCCUGACGGGGCAACGCCGCGUGAGUGAUGAAGGUCUUCGGAUCGUAAAACUCUGUUAUUAGGGAAGAACAAAUGUGUAAGUAACUAUGCACGUCUUGACGGUACCUAAUCAGAAAGCCACGGCUAACUACGUG
rnacentral:rRNA from 1 species